rnacentral:rRNA from 1 species
CCUACGGGGGGCUGCAGUAAGGAAUAUUGGUCAAUGGACGCAAGUCUGAACCAGCCAUGCCGCGUGGAGGAUGAAGGUUCUCUGAAUUGUAAACUUCUUUUAUCUGGGAAGAAAUCCAUCUUUUCUUGGGUGGUUGACGGUACCAGAUGAAUAAGCACCGGCUAACUCCGUGCCAGCAGCCGCGGUAAUACGGAGGGUGCAAGCGUUAUCCGGAUUUACUGGGUUUAAAGGGUGCGCAGGCGGACAGGUAAGUCAGUGGUGAAAUCCUGCAGCUU